rnacentral:rRNA from 1 species
CGUCGAGACCUUCGGAUCUAGUGGCGCACGGGUGCGUAACGCGUGGGAAUCUGCCCUUGGGUUCGGAAUAACAGUGAGAAAUUACUGCUAAUACCGGAUGAUGUCUUCGGACCAAAGAUUUAUCGCCCAGGGAUGAGCCCGCGUAGGAUUAGCUAGUUGGUGGGGUAAUGGCCUACCAAGGCGACGAUCCUUAGCUGGUCUGAGAGGAUGAUCAGCCACACUGGGACUGAGACACGGCCCAGACUCCUACGGGAGGCAGCAGUGGGGAAUAUUGGACAAUGGGCGCAAGCCUGAUCCAGCAAUGCCGCGUGAGUGAUGAAGGCCUUAGGGUUGUAAAGCUCUUUUACCCGGGAUGAUAAUGACAGUACCGGGAGAAUAAGCUCCGGCUAACUCCGUGCCAGCAGCCGCGGUAAUACGGAGGGAGCUAGCGUUGUUCGGAAUUACUGGGCGUAAAGCGCGCGUAGGCGGCUGCUCAAGUCAGAGGUGAAAGCCCGGGGCUCAACCCCGGAACUGCCUUUGAAACUAGGUAGCUAGAAUCUUGGAGAGGUCAGUGGAAUUCCGAGUGUAGAGGUGAAAUUCGUAGAUAUUCGGAAGAACACCAGUGGCGAAGGCGACUGACUGGACAAGUAUUGACGCUGAGGUGCGA